AAAGAUCCCUCUUGGUGAUAGUAGUAAAGUUGAUCUGCUCCCAUCUUGAGGGGCCUCACAUCUCUCCCCCCCUUGCUGGGCCCAGCUUCCCAGGGACCUCCCACUGGAGACCCGGGAGGGACCCGUGGGAGGCGAGUUCCGGGCGACAGAGGCAGAUGCGGGUCCCGGGGCCGUUUCCAUUUUAAUUUUCUGCAGCGUGAGGGGAGCGUGUGGGCUUGCUGUGCGUGCUGAUGUAGGCCACAUGCAAAAAGCAUGUCCCCGUGUCCCCGUGAGAGUCCAGAGGGAGGGAGGUGGGGAAGGCGAGGAGGGGUUGAAGCACAACUUCUAAGGCUCCUUUCAACUGCACCGCGCUGAGCCUCGGGCCAGGAGAAGGCUGAGUUAUGUAAGAGCUGGCCGGGUGCCCACAUCUGGCAAUAGUCACCGUGUUUGGUGAGCAGGCCGCUCUCCCACGGCCAGCAGCUGAUCUGUUCUGGAAAGAAGGCGGAGUCCAUGAAAGCAUCCACAGGACCCUGUGGCCACGUGGGGUCCCCCCGGGCUAGCAGGGAGGCGUCUGGCCAUCUGGGCUCCCACCAGCCAGGUGAGGAGUAGUUGGGAAAUGUGACGGAAGUGCCACCUCUGUGGGCUGAAGCACACGGGACAGUUUUAAUGGCCCAGGAAGAGGUUUUGCCCCAGCUGCAGGCCCAUGCAGAGGGAAGAGAAACCAUGUGCCGCCGUGCAGAGUCCAACCCCGGCGGGGUCUCCUCUAUACGGGUGAACCACCAACCUACAGGGGAGUUGGCACAGACACAGCAUCGAAGCAAAGAAACUAGAGCUCUGGCCUCCGAGUGAGCUGAGAUUGGGCUGGACUCACGGCCCAAUCCUCGGUAAAACCUUGAGCCUGAGUUUCCUUGUUUAUAAAAUGGACAUCAUAGUACUUAGUACCUAUGAGGAAACUGACACAAAGCACAGCACUCGUUUAGUGCAGUGGUUGGCUAAUAGGCAGCAUCCCGGACCCCUGAGCAUCUGUGGUGGACGCAGUGGAGUUCCGGAGGACCUUGGGCUGAGGCUGCACUGCUGUGUCCUGCCUGCCGUGUUCUGGGACCUCCCCAGCACCCAGCCACAAUCAGCCCUCCAGCACCUGGGCUUCUGGUGUGGAGGUGUCCUGUCUUACAGAGCCACACAGCCUGGAUUUUUCGUGCCUUACUCUUUGGGACCCCUGCUGUCACGGGCUGCUUCCUGUAGCCCUGUGAGACACACAGGGAAAAUUUGACUCCAACAGGUGAGAAAGUGGGGCACCCCAGGUGAGCCACCUGCUGAUGUCCCCUGCAGGCGACAGGGUGGGAGGCAUUCUGAGGGGACUUAGCCCAUGGACUCCCCAGUGCAGGCCAAUCCAAAGUCCACCUCCCAGACAGCUCCACAGAGGAACAGGGCUCUAUCCUAGUGCUCAUUGUUUAUUUAUUAAUUUUGAUUUUUAAAAAAAUAUUUUUAAAAAUACUUCAUAAUGCAAUAGGAGCAGUUAGGAGCAGUUAGGUCACGUUCACAGGUCAGACUCCAGGGAGUGCACUCUGGAGCGGGUUCUGGUAGAUGUGCCAGGAAGGAGGUAGCUCAGGAGCUUACCCUGGGCUAAGGACAAGGGACAGGUGAUCCGCAGAGCUGCCAGCGCAGACAGAGCUGACCAGUCCCCCAAGAAGCCUCUGCCUCACCCUGAAGACCAAGGUCCUGUCCCUUCACGUCUUAAUGAUAGUGCUGUUUUAUUUUGCUGGUGUGUGUACAGUUAAAAAUUCACAUUUCCUGUGCCCAGAGUUUCCAAAACCCCCAGGCACAUGCCCUGUCUGGAUGGAAAGUCCCUUGAAAGGUCCUCCUGCCCACCUUCUGCCACUGUGUGACUGUAGGCCUCAGUGACAGCCUUUGUCCAGAGCUGGACCCGCUGGUCGGGGUGGUGGAGGGUGUCUGGUGGGCAUGCAGUGGUCCAGCCACUGUGUCCUGAGAGGGAAGCUCUGCCUGGACAGGUCACUGAGGGCUUCUUCUUUGGGUUGACCAGUCGCUGCUGUGCAGGAGCCCCAGGAACGAAGGCAGGGCCGUCCAGCGGAGCCCUGGCUGGCUCUCGCCUCUGGUCUGGUUUAUCCAGCGCCUUAUCAGAAGCACUCCUCCCUGGCGGGCUGGGGGGAAGGCUUCCCUGAGCCCCUGCUCCUCCGCCCUCCUGUCCCCACUGCCAUCGGCACCUGGCAGGCUGCAUCCUGCUGUCCACCCACUGCCCGGCUUAUCACCGUGGGCCUUGCCUCAGCAGCCUGCAGAUCAACCCGGGGCUGGGAGGAACCCGGGAAAGAUGGAAAGGGUGGGGAGGAAGGAGCUCCCGCACUGGCGGCCCCACCCCGUCCAGACUUUGAAAACGCCACUGUGCGUAGGACAGAAGUUGUAAGAACAAUUCAGAUAAAAGUUUGUAAGUACAAUUCUCCCUGUUUCCCUUUGCCAGCGUGGGGUGAGGGAAGUGAGCCAGGAGCUGGAGCCCCCCGCCCCUGUGUUCCAAGUGUUGAUUUCAGGGCACAGCAAGGCCGCAGGGCCCCACCAGGGCAGCCAGAUGGCCUCUUGUGGCCUUGCUAGUGGCCAGGACCAUGGUCACUGAACGCCCUCCUUGAUGGUGGUCACUGGGCUACCCUGGGGGUGCCAGAGCCUCUGGAGGGACACCUUCCAUUGGCAGAGGAGGGUGCUUCUGACCUUGAUGACCUGGGCCUGGAAGGGAUAGGAGACCUUGCGAAGCUCCCCGCUAUGGCUUGGGAGUGGUCCGAGUGACCCCACGGGUCCGUUGUAAUUAAAGUCUUCUGUCCACAGCAAGUUCCAGGCAAUGGAAUCUAGGGGAGGCGGGGUCUUGUGGGAGGGUCUUAGCUCACUGAGGAGAUGUCCUUGAAAGGGACUUCGGCCAUCUCUCUCUGACUUCCUGCCUGGCAUGUGAGUUCUUCCACACAAAUGCCUCCACCAUUAGGAGGCUUCCCCAGCCACGCUGCUGACUCUCAAGUGCUGUGAGCUAAGUCGACCUUUUCUUCCUGUAAGCUGGCUGCCCUUGGCACUUCACUGUAGUAAAACAAGACUGACUGAUGCGUCCGCCCAGAGAGCCCUGGAGUCCCGGCCACGUGUCCCCCCUGGAGGUGUGGAGUCUGCAAUGGGGUGACCUCUGCUGUCUCAGGCACACUCUUCCCCACAGCCCCACUAAGCCUUCCUGUGCCGAAGGAGAGUUGAUCCCUGACCCUAAAGAUGGUUUCUAGGAUCGCCAGUGCCUGAUUGCCGGGAGCUCUGGUCUUGCUGACCGGAGGGGAUAUUUGGCCAGGGGCGGUGAAGGCAGCUUUGGAAAGGAAACGGAGCCGGUUGAUUUGAGUUUCAGGCCAAGAUCUGCAGCCCGUCUUUUGGCUCUGCCUCUUCUGGUGACUUCUCUGGAAAGCUAUGCUGGUUUCCUGCCCUGAAGGAUGGGGUCCUUCGAGAAGGGAGCCUGACUCCGUCUGCUUGAAUGACAGGAGGCUCUUGGAGAGGCUCCUGCGUCCUUUCAGACAACCCAGGACGUCUCCUCGGUCUGCCUCCACUUCCCAAAAGGCUCCGUUUGGCCCAGUUUCCCUGUAGUCUCCCUUUCAAAAUUCCAGAGAAUCCCAACAUCUGGGCAGAAUCGUGAAGGGAGGAAGGGCCCACAAGUGUGUAGAAUGCCUCCUUCCCACUCACAGCUCCGCAGCCGGCUUCCUUCUGCUCCAGCUGCCACAGAAGAGCCCCCUGGCUCCCAGGCAGCCCGUGGGCACUCUCCCACCCGCCCGUCCAGGGGGCCCACCUCGGCUGGAGAAAUUCUGGAGGAGGUGGUAGUGUUCUCCACCGUCUGUGAAAUGAAGUGAGCAGGCUCCACGUGAAACUUCUACUCCCCCAGAAGUUUUACGACAGACUCUUUGGAAACAUUCUUUGAGGAGGAUGUCAUGUACGAGGAAGCCCGUUCUGGAUAAGGCCAUAAAAAGGCUUACCUUAGCUCCCGUGCCAAGUCCUCAAUCAAGGAGCAGUGUAUCACUGGGUCUGCCAAGAUGCGCUGGGGAAAGGCCACCAGAAUUCCUCCCUGCAGGGCUAUAAGAAGAUGGAAUCCGGUGUAUUCCACACCAUGUGGAUGAAUGAAUCAGGAAGUGGAGGAACGCAGCCAGGAAGUCUGCAGCAAGUCCCCGAGAUGAUAAAAAGACUGCUUCUUCCUAUUAAUAUUUUAUUGCAAAGGGGUCAUUGCCAGCUGGCUCAUCUUGCUGCUUGAGAGAACCAAAUGCUGUCAUUCUAACCUCAAAUGUUGCUGCUUUUAAGAAAGCCCCGGCACAUGCUCUCUAAACCACUUGCAGAACAGUCGUAAGUGGUGCUCAGCAGGCAAUUUUUACAGGCUAGGAAGGCCCAGCAAAAUGCCUGUACUAGAAGGGAGAACAGGAAGGGAAACGGUCUCUUCCAUGAAGAUACUAUCACAAACUCAAAAUGGCAGUAAACCUACUGAAACUGGACUUCAACUCUAGAGUUUUAAGGUCUUCUAAAUGGAAAAGGCAAAUGUUGCAUAAGAAUGUCCACACUUGGAUUUUUUUUCCAUUUGUUCCAUUUUUAUGAGAAAAUGGUCUAAAUGGCUUAGCUCCUGCCUGUGUAGUUUAAAUUCCUCAAUGUGGCUUUUGGAAUGUUGGCAGGGGAGUGCAGUUCACUAUUUGGGAGGACAUUUGACUUAAAUUCUGAACUCUUGAGACACAACCACCCGGGUCCCACAGAGAUUCUGAGGUUUCUUGGGUUCUGAUAAAUAGGUGAAGAGGCUGCUGAAGAUAAGAUUUAUCCAUCCAUCCAUACAUCCAUCCAUACAUCCAUCCAUCCACCCACCAUCCAUACAUCUACUACUGUCCAUCCAUCCACUACCAACCCAUCCAUCUGUCCACUAUCCAUCCACCUAUCCAGUCCCUUAUCUGUUCAUCUAUCUAUCCAACCACCAUCCAUCUAUUUGGCCAGUGCCCAUCCAUCUCUCCAGCUACCCACCUAUCAUCCAUCCAUCCAUCCAUCCAUCCAUCCAUCCAUCCAUCCAUCUAUCCAGCCACCAUAUACCCAUCAGUCCAGUGACUCACCUCUCAUACAUCCACCAUGCAUCCAUUCAUCCAUCUGUCCACUACCCAUCCAUCUAUCCAGUCAGCAUCCCCCCAUCUAUCCAGUGACUCACCUCGUGCCCACCCAACAUCCACGAUCUACCUUGACAUUCAGUUAUUCAUUUAUUCCUCAUUAAGAGAGAAUGUCUGAGGAAAGGAUGCUUAGGACUGGAUCUGAGAAAAAUGUGUCCUAAAGGAAGUUAGAUGAGGACAUCGGGCAGGGCUCAUUCACAAAAGAGAUGGACUUGAAAGGAGAGGACAGCUCCCCACCUCAGCAGACUUCUUGGCGUACGAGUCAUGGGUUGAGCACGGAACCAGAGGCUGGCCUGACACCGAAACCGAAAAAGGCUCAUGACAUGCAACUGCUUGAGAUCAAAGAGAGUGGCCAAGGGCGGGUCUCCCCCGGGGGGGGGGGGGCACGUGAUCGUGAAAAGUCCUGGGACAGAGGGAACGAGCUCACAGGAAGGGUUUUGUGAUUACCUUAACCACUGAUUGAGGAGGGGUGGAAACCCAAAGGUUUUCCAGCAAGGCUUCAGCUCCAUAGA